UGGAAUUCUUAAUAUCUGUGCUUGUUUGUCUUGGUUGAGUUACAUAUUCAUCGCAAUUAUGUCAAGUAAAAUCCCCUCUCAGCUAACUGCAAACAGCUCCAUUGUGAGAUGUAGCCUUAAGGGGCAGGCGGGAUCAGAGUAAUUAUAGUGAAAGUGUAAAUCAUUUUUUCUACGAGCACAUCAGAGAGGAGCUGUUGUGAAUGAAGCUAGUUCUUUGUGGGCAAGAGGCUCACUAUUUGGGUACAAAAAGCCUUUUGUUUUACAGAGGUGUCUUCUGUACUCAAUCACAGAGCUAUUAAAACAGCCAGAGACAUUUGAUUCAAAUUUAAGAGCACUAGUAUGACAUAUGGCAUGGUCCUUAGGGUUUUGUGGGUUAUUCAGUCAUGCCAGAGGCAAUGGGAAUUGCCAGUUGGGAAUGUUCGGCACUGACCUAUCUUUCCUUUGCACAAGUUUUUUUUGGUAGUUAGGACAGUAUACUAUUUUUCAGGAAGCAUAAAUGUGAAUCACCACUUGUGUGGUGAUUCAUAUAGUAUCCUGGUUGCACCUGUGGAUAAGCCCAAUAUCAUUACUCACCCAGGAGAGAAAAGGAAGUAAUGAAAUCUUGCAUCUGGAUCGUUGUAGGAAAACAACCAGCUGAGCCCGAUGCACAUACGUUUCAAAUCGCAUUGUGUUGUUGUGCAAAUAUUUUCAAGUAAUCCAACAGAAUUCGUCUUUUAUUAAGCCCAAGUGAAUUGUUAUGACUGAGAACAGGCCACAGUGGGAACAAUGAGCCUGAAAGGUGAUAUCGAUUUUGAUGAAUGCCAAAUGCGCACUGCUGGAAAUGGUAGAUUUUUCACAAGAGCUCAGGGCUGCAUUAAAGCACAGUGUGUGUCUGGUUUCAACCCGCGUUCAUUUGGGAAGCGCAGCAUCCGAUUCAUUUGUCCCCAUGUGUCGUUUCUUAGACAGGACAGGUUACCGAUGGCUGUAGCGGCGGAACUGCCCUCAAUCACGGCUGACGGCUGUGACAGUAAUGCCGACUGUAGCUGCUAAUGGGACCGCAGGGACUUUUUGCUGUGUGCGACAUCAAUCGGGGUCCUCAGCACGCUCACUCAAAUGGCCCUCCUCACUCACUCAACACAUAGCAGAUGUCCCACUCUGAUCCUCCAGCACACGUAUAAAU
ensembl:lncRNA